UACGUAGGUCCCGAGCGUUGUCCGGAUUUAUUGGGCGUAAAGCGAGCGCAGGUGGUUUAUUAAGUCUGGUGUAAAAGGCAGUGGCUCAACCAUUGUAUGCAUUGGAAACUGGUAGACUUGAGUGCAGGAGAGGAGAGUGGAAUUCCAUGUGUAGCGGUGAAAUGCGUAGAUAUAUGGAGGAACACCGGUGGCGAAAGCGGCUCUCUGGCCUGUAACUGAUACUGAGGCUCGAAAGCGUGGGGAGCAACCAGG
rnacentral:rRNA from 1 species